CAAGUCGAACGGUAACGCGGGGCAACCUGGCGACGAGUGGCGAACGGGUGAGUAAUGCAUCGGAACGUGCCUGGUAAUGGAGGAUAACUGCUCGAAAGAGCAGCUAAUACCGCAUACGACCUGAGGGUGAAAGGGGGGGAUCGCAAGACCUCCCGUUAUCAGAGCGGCCGAUGUCGGAUUAGCUAGUUGGUGGGGUAAAGGCCCACCAAGGCGACGAUCCGUAGCUGGUCUGAGAGGACGACCAGCCACACUGGGACUGAGACACGGCCCAGACUCCCACGGGAGGCAGCAGUGGGGAAUUUUGGACAAUGGACGCAAGUCUGAUCCAGCCAUGCCGCGUGCGGGAAGAAGGCCUUCGGGUUGUAAACCGCUUUUGUCAGGGAAGAAAUCUUCUAGGCUAAUACCUUGGGAGGAUGACGGUACCUGAAGAAUAAGCACCGGCUAACUACGUGCCAGCAGCCGCGGUAAUACGUAGGGUGCAAGCGUUAAUCGGAAUUACUGGGCGUAAAGCGUGCGCAGGCGGUUAUGCAAGACAGGUGUGAAAUCCCCGAGCUCAACUUGGGAACUGCACUUGUGACUGCAUAGCUAGAGUACGGUAGAGGGGAGUGGAAUUCCGCGUGUAGCAGUGAAAUGCGUAGAUAUGCGGAGGAACACCGAUGGCGAAGGCAGCUCCCUGGACCUGUACUGACGCUCAUGCACGAAAGCGUGGGGAGCAAACAGGAUUAGAUACCCUGGUAGUCCACGCCCUAAACGAUGUCAACUGGUUGUUGGGAGGGUUUCUUCUCAGUAACGAAGCUAACGCGUGAAGUUGACCGCCUGGGGAGUACGGCCGCAAGGUUGAAACUCAAAGGAAUUGACGG
rnacentral:rRNA from 1 species